rnacentral:lncRNA from 1 species
AACUUUUUGAUCUAUUCAAUGACAAACUGUGCUAAAUCAUAGUCCUUUUCUUAUUUACACUUUCAAAUUCACAUAACUUAAUUAACAGGUAAAACUUUAGUUUGCUCAAUUUUUACUCGUAUACUGAUGAAACAGGUACGUAGCAGUCAAAAGUUGUGUACUUAGCCCAUUUUUUAAUUUAUACCAAAAAAAAAAAACCAACAUAAUUUAAUUAAGAUCUCCUGUUCCCUACCCUUAA